rnacentral:lncRNA from 1 species
CGCCACCGAUGGUGGACGUAUUCGCCGGAGCGGGGUUUGAAUCAUCGUCGUCGCCGAUGGAGGAGGUCGGUCGACGACGAUGGAGGAGGUCGGUCAGGUGGCGGAGGAUGAGACGACGGCGGCAGAUCUGAUCUGAUGAGGCGGCGGUGGAUCUGAUCUGAUCGUUGCGCCGCCUCCUCCAUCGGCAGAUCUGAUAUUCGCCUCCUUCGAUUUCAGCCAUCGACAGAUCUGAUCUGAUCUGAUCUGUGCUGCACGUAUGGCACUUAUGGCACUAAUAGUGCCAUAAGUGCACACUUCCCCCUAGGGUUUAGAUAUUCCAUUUAGGGUUUAGAUUAUUCAUUUGGGGUUUAGAUGUUCCAUUUAGGGUUUA